UCUUUGUAUAAGAUGUUCUAUUGUGUAAACACUAUCAAGUAGAGCAUUUUAUAUAAGGAAG
rnacentral:pre_miRNA from 1 species